UACGAAGGGGGCUAGCGUUGCUCGGAAUCACUGGGCGUAAAGCGCACGUAGGCGGCUUUUUAAGUCAGGGGUGAAAUCCUGGAGCUCAACUCCAGAACUGCCUUUGAUACUGGGAAGCUUGAGUCCGGGAGAGGUGAGUGGAACUCCGAGUGUAGAGGUGAAAUUCGUAGAUAUUCGGAAGAACACCGGUGGCGAAGGCGGCGCUCUGGACCGAGACUGACGCUGAGGCGCGAAAGCGUGGGGAGCAAACAGG
rnacentral:rRNA from 1 species